rnacentral:lncRNA from 1 species
CACCGGCCAUCCCGGCACUUACGAAAACGUUGUUGGAGGACGUGAAGAAGAUAUUCAAGACAACAUCUGGGACACCAUUUAUGUUUCCCACGACCGGAACUGGUGCUUGGGAGAGUGCCUUGACCAACACGCUAUCUCCUGGAGACAGGAUCGUCUCGUUUCUGAUCGGACAGUUUAGCUUGCUGUGGAUUGACCAGCAGAAGAGGCUAAAUUUCAAUGUUGACGUGGUUGAGAGUGAAUGGGGGCAAGGUGCUAAUCUCCAAGUCUUGGCCUCAAAGCUCUCACAAGACCAGAAUCAUUCCAUCAAAGCCAUUUGCAUUGUCCACAAUGAGACCGCGACUGGUGUCACCAAUGACAUCUCUGCUGUCCGAACCCUCCUCGGUCAGUAAUUCCACACAACCAUCUGUUUUUCUUUUCUGAUUGCUCUGUUAUUAAUUUCACUUACACACAUAUAAACACAUCUUCACAUCUUCACAC